rnacentral:lncRNA from 1 species
GAUCUGUCACCCAGCCUGGAGUGCAGUGGCACAAUCAUAGCUGCCUACAGCCUUGAAGUCCUGGGCUCAAGCAAUUCUUCCUCGUCAGCCUCCUGAAUAGCAGUGAUUAGAGGCGCCCACACUAAGCAUGGCUCGAUAUGGUGGUUUUUCAAGCGCUUUGAAAUGCAAUCUCAUUUGAUUCUCUCCAGCAUAUUAUUAUGAAAGGAGAAUAGUUAGCCUGGAAUAACAACCUUUCCCUGAUCAUGAAUGUGGAUGAACUGGUGAACAUUAAUGAGACAAUGGAUAUCCAUAGAAACCCUCAGAGCAUCUUCAAUAUUUUCCAAAAGUAUUGGAACUUGGUGCAAAUCACUGUGCCUACAGAUUUUGAUGGAACUGCCCAGAUCAAGAAAAAGAUUUGUAUUUUGGCUAUUUUCCAAGUAGAGAACCUAUAAUAAUAUAACUUUUUUUAAUUUUUCUAUAUUUUUUCCUCCUUCAGAAAACAGAGAGGCAGGUAUUGAUGCAUCAGCUGUGUGGGUUCUGUGUAAAUGUAGAAGGGUUUUGUGGGGCUUACAUGGAAGGACAGUAUAGAUGGUUUCUGGGCCUGUUCUUACCUUGUUCUGAGACUGACUUGCCAGGGCCAGGAAUGUGGGUGGGCCACACACCCCCCUACAAUGCUUCCAGGACAUUUCUUCGGCUCCACUUGAGGCUUCCCACAAUCAAAUGAAGAGGAUGCUGUGGCACAAGGUGGGAAAAGAAGUCGCAUUUGAGUCCAAGUUAGCAAUUGUGUCGUUUAAUUCAGGACGAAUUCCAA